AUGUCUGCUCACCUUUGUCCCAGUAUAGAUCCCAAGCCCUUUGAGACUCGAUUUUCUCAUCUCACUGCAGGCAUCAGAAAUCCAAGUCCAAGGAUGAAGUAUGUAGCUGACAAGUCCAGGAGCUCGACGACGCUGUGGACCUUGGCCCAUCCUUGGAGUCUCCAGGCUGAAGGAGCACAGAUCUGGACUACAGACCAGAGGGGCCCUGUAGCAGCUCGUCCGCAGGGCCUGAAAUGUCACCAUCUGUCAUGCCUUUGGUUUCUUCCUUGGAGGUCCCUAUUAAAAAUACAAAUGUUCUCUGGGCAGGAGAUGGACUGGAUUAGAGGGCCUCGUCCUGACCAAUUGUGCUUUGCGGUGCUCCAAGAAGCCAUAGCUACAAAAUGAUGGACAAGUUACACUUUCCUAAAGUGUGCCCUGGCCCAGGCUGCUUCAGAGACUUGGGCCUGUUGGUGAGAGAGAUGGGUAAAGGAGAGUGAAGACAGGUGAGAUCUGGGUGUAAGAUGGGGUCUUGGGGUGAGUGUGAGGGUGGGCUGAAGUGAACAGGAGUAGAGAGACUGUUAUGGACUGAAUUGUAUCUCUCCAACCCAUAUGUUGGAGCCCAAUGUGAUCUCAAGAUAGAUACUGCUAUUUUCCCCAUGUUACACAUGGACACUGGCCUAGUUCCUGCCAUAACAAAUGACCACAAAUUCAGUGGCUUAAACAAUAUAAAUUUAUUCUGUCACGGUUCUGGAAGCCAGAAGUCCAAGAUCAAAAGGCUCUAAGGGAGGCUCCUUCCUUGUCCCUUCCCAUUUCUGGUGGCCCCAAGAGUCCUUGGCUUGUGGCUACAUCACUCCCAUCUCUGCUUCCACUGUCCCAUGGCCUCAUCCUUCCUGUGGAUCUCUGUGUGUCUUCUCUUCUGAUAAACGUGCUGGUCAUUGGAUUUAGGAACCACCCAAUCAAUCCAGUAUGACCUUGUCUUAACCAAUUACAUCUGCAAAGACCCUAUUUCCGAAUAGGAUUACAUUCUUGGGUUCUGGUCAGACAGGACUUUUGGGGGACAUGGAAAUCUCUUUCUCUAGUCCCACAGUCAAGGCAGCAGAGCUAGAGCUCCCACCCUGGGGACAGUAUCAGAGGGGUGGCCAGGAGUGCAGGGGUCACCCUGCUCCUACUUCCCUCAUCUGUGAUUGUCUAUCUCCUGACUGAGUUGGAGGUGACACAAUGGGAUGUGCAGGUACAGAAGGGGCAGAGGCCUGGGGUCACCCAUCUCCCUUAAGCCCCCCACCCCAAGGCAGUGCAGACAUGGCUGUUGAGAUACCUGGCUCUCAAGCCAGCAUCGAAGCCCAUGGUGUCAGCCUUUUCCUUUCUCUUACGUUUUUUGGUUGGGGCAUAUCUCAGUCCAUUGGUGCUGCUGUAGCAAUAUACCUGAGAUUGGGUAGUUUAUACACAAGAGAAAUUUAUUUCUUAUAGUUCUGGAGGGUGGAAAGUCCAAAAUCAAGGUGCCAGCAUUGGUGUCUUGUAAGGGCCUUCUUGCUUCUGUCCUCACAUGGUGGAAGAGUCAAAGGGAGCAAACCCACUUCUAAAACCCCAGUCUUUUUAGAAGAGCCCUGGUCCCAUCCAUGAGGGGUCUGCCCUUGUGAUUUAGUCACUCUUAAAGUCCCCACCUCUUUACACUGUCACAUUGGUCAUUAAGUUUCAGCAUGUGAAUUUUGUGGCAUACAUUCACACCACAGCAGGGCAGGGGGCAGCCUUCAAGUGUGUAAGUAAAACCUGCAGGCAAUAGCUCUUGAAAAUAUUAAAAUCUUACAAGUUAAGAUUAAUGUCCCUGUGGACGUCACUCCCUCCCAAAUCCCUGCCUUACCUCCAGAAGUGAACACCUUUACCUGUUUGGAACAUAUCCCUUCAGACAUUUAAAGAAAUGCCUUUAUUUACAUGCAUGUGUGUGUGUGUGUGUGUGUGUGUGUGUGUGUAGAAAAUACGUGCUAUUGCAUUAUGGUGCUUAACUUAUUUUGUCAAAAUUUUCCAUAGACGAAAUAGUCAAACAACCCCACGUCCUCACAGCCCAGCCCCACCUGUCACCAGCUCACGGCCAAUCUUGGCUCCUCUGAGCCCCUCCCCCAAUCGCAGGCAUCCCCAACUCCCUGGCAAGUGUCUCAGGGUGUGUCUGCCUCCACGGGCAGGGCUCCUCUUUUCUUAACUAACACCAUUCCGUCAGCACUGUCACCAACAUCAGCAGUGUUCCUUCAGAUCAUCUAAUGCCCAUUCAGCCUCCACAUUUUCCUAGUUGUCUCAAAAAUGUCUUCUCAGGCUUGGUUUGUUUGCCUCAGGAUUUGCUGGGCUGUCAAAGGCCUUCGUGGGACCCUGCUCUGGGCCCCGCCGUGCCGGCAUCUCGAGGCCCAUCCUGCCCAAACACGCAGAGGGCCUCCCACCUCCUCACAGCCCUGCAGCUUCCUCCUUCACUCAGUCACACCUCUAUUGAUGGAGACACACUUAGGUGGGUCCAGGGUUUUGCUACAAAAACAAGGCUGCAAUUAACAUUCUUCAUUCUUUCUGAGCCUCCUGGGUGUUUUUCUAGGGACAAUGGCUUGCUGUUAGGCACCACUUCCCCUCUCUGAGCUGUGGCUUCCCCCUUGGAGAGGUGUAGAAGGCUGAGAUUCUAACAGUAUCUGAUAUUCUAAGAGGAAGACUCCAUCAUAUGCCCUGAGGCCACGUUGUUCUGAGCAGAGGGCGGCAAAGGUGUUUCGCUGUGGGAGGCUUCCCACUGUGCUCACUGGUCCUCAGACUCCACAGAGGGGACACUGGCGUUGGGGAGGAGCAUCCUGGGGCCACCUCAGGAUCUGCCCACCACACUGCCCAAGAGAAGGACCCAUGGGACUCUAGCAGUGAGAGCUGAGUCUGGGGACAGUCAGAGGAGUGGGGUCUGGGAAGUGGGGUACGGGUUGCCUUCAUUAGGGCUGGAGUGCCAG
ensembl:lncRNA